rnacentral:misc_RNA from 1 species
GAUGCCUCCAUAUGAAGCUUUAUACGGCAGAAAGUGUAGAACUCCCUUGUGUGUGGGAUGAAGGGGGUGAGAGGAAGAUAAUUAGCCCCGAACUUGUGCAGCAGGCAGAAGAAAAUAUUAAGCUCAUUAGAGACAGACUCAAGGCGGCAUCGGAUAGACAAAAGUCCUACAUUGAUCUGAAGAGGAGAUAUUCAGUAUAGUGUGAGUGACAAAGUAUUCCUUAAAGUUUCUCCUUGGAAGAAGAUCAUGAGAUUUGGUAGAAACGGAAAAUUGAGUCCUCGCUUCAUUGGGCCAU